UGCCCCUAGUACGGCGAGUGAGCGGCAACAGCUCAAUUUGAAAGCUGGCUCCGGCCCGCAUUGUAAUUUGCAGAGGAUGCUUUUGGCGAGGUGCCUUCCGAGUUCCCUGGAACGGGACGCCAUAGAGGGUGAGAGCCCCGUAUGGAUGGACACCAGACCUGUGUAAAGCUCCUUCAACGAGUCGAGUAGUUUGGGAAUGCUGCUCUAAAUGGGAGGUAAAUCUCUUCUAAAGCUAAAUACCGGCCAGAGACCGAUAGCGCACAAGUAGAGUGAUCGAAAGAUGAAAAGCACCUUGAAAAGGGGGUUAAACAGUACGUGAAAUUGUUGAAAGGGAAGCAUUUAUGACCAGACUUGCGCCGGGCAGCUCAUCAGGGGUUCUCCCCUGUGCACUCUGCCCGGCUCAGGCCAGCAUCGGUUCUCGUGGGAGGAUAAGAACAGUGGGAACGUGGCCCCCCUCCGGGGGGGUGUUAUAGCCCAUUGUACGAUACUCUCGUGGGGACCGAGGUUCGCGCUCCGCAAGGAUGCUGGCGUAAUGGUCAUCAAUGACCCGUCUUA
rnacentral:rRNA from 1 species